GUAAUAUUUCAACAUCCUGCAUUAGGAAAAAUGCUAAAGGCACUAAAUUUUUUCGUAAUGUGUAUUAAAAAUUAAAAUAAUACCACACAAGUAGGAUAAGUAGGACAAGGCUUGCGAAAGAAAGAAGUAUUUUUCUCCACGUAAUGCAAUACGUGCAAUUUUUUUUUAUAUAUUGUAUCACAUGAUAAUUUAUUUUGUAAAAUCGACGAUUGUAAUUUAAACUUCAAACACUAAAGAUAACCGCAUAGCGAUCGAAACGUUUAUUAAACUUUGUUUAUACAAAUUAUCAGCACUGAAAUUUAGCUGCGUUCGUAACCCCCAUCAAUUGUUAUUAUUUUAAAAUAAUUGGUAAUAAUCUGAAAAGGAAGCUUUUUCGAUAGCGUUAACAAUCUAGAUUGUAUUCCGUCGAAAUCGAGGUGUCAAGAGUCAAGAUGCAAUCGAUGCGAGCUUCUUAGCGCACAUACUUUCUCGUCAAAUGAAAACAGUAUUCCCGAAAUACUGUUCCAUUGCCCCGAAGUUAAACUGGGACAUCGCACGGCAACUACUCCCUCCAGCUCCCUUGGGGUGGCAUCGGCGCGCAUCUUCGUUCGUUCGUUAAUCCCAGAACGUCGCGACUACUUUGCAGGAACUUACCCUCCUGCCUGGCGGUAGCGUCCUUCUUUCGUACCCUCGCGCGCUGCUUGUCGGUGGUGGCGCGGGUGGUAUGGUGGGUGGUGGAGGUGGAUGGAAGAGAGGUACCACCAUGUUAUGCAGCCCCACCACCGACUCCGUCCUGACCAACCGGCUGUUUACUGUUUGGCCUCCCGGGAUAUCGAUCCCAGUGGCGUAAGAACCCGCAACCCAGAGCCACCCGACCCAGAGAGCGAGAGGGUAUGAGGAUACGAGAGAAAGAUAGAGAGAGGGGAAGAGAGAGAGAGAGAGAGAGAGAGAGAGAGAGAGAGAGAGAGAGAGAGAGAGAGAGAGAGAGAGAGAGAUCGGCACGCAAUGGGUUUCGGCCGCGGGCGGUUGGCAACCGACUCUAGUGUUGAUACAGCACGAUUCCGACACCGCCUCCGUACCCUCAGACUCGGCCGGCACUCAGGAUCGCGGGAUCGGCGAUAAACCGAAGAGCCGGAAUGGAGAGCGAAGGCGGGAGCAGCCGCGGCGGGGAGAGAGUCACCCGCUCUCCGACGAGAUGGAGAGAUGAUCGAAUUGAAUUCGCGCGCCGUCCGUGCUACUCGGCAAAUUUACAGACGCGCGAAGACGUUAAGCAGUUAACGAAGAACGACGCUGGUCGCGCCGAUGCGAUUACGAACGAGAUAGCAACAACGCCCUCGCCUUUUAUCGAUGUUUUACUACGUUUCGAAGGCAAGGUGUGCUAAUUUUACCCGAAAUUAUACUCAAGUGAUAAUUAUAUUGUAAUUCUAGAAAAAUACAGUAGCAAUGAGUUGUUUGCAAAAAUAAAUACCUUCAAAAAUAAAUUAUUAAUAAAUAAUAUAAUAGUAAGCAUGGAGCAACAUAGUAAAGGAUAAUUACAAAGAAAAAAUUUAUAAAGAGAGAGAAAGAGAGAGAGAUAAGGCAUUAAAGAAAAAAAAGAAGGAAGGGAUAAGAAACCUAUUGUAACAAAUGUGAUAAGAAAAAUGUAAUGCAACCUAUAAUUAGAGGUAUAAAUGUUAAAGCUAUGUUAGAUAUAUAAG